rnacentral:rRNA from 1 species
UACGUAGGUGGCAAGCGUUAUCCGGAUUUAUUGGGCGUAAAGCGAGCGCAGGCGGUUUUUUAAGUCUGAUGUGAAAGCCCUUGGCUCAACCAAGGAAGUGCAUCGGAAACUGGAGAACUUGAGUGCAGAAGAGGACAGUGGAACUCCAUGUGUAGCGGUGAAAUGCGUAGAUAUAUGGAAGAACACCAGUGGCGAAGGCGGCUGUCUGGUCUGUAACUGACGCUGAGGCUCGAAAGCAUGGGUAGCGAACAGG